ensembl:lncRNA NECTIN1-AS1 NECTIN1 antisense RNA 1
ACAGGGCAGAGAUGGAUAGGGAAGGGAGUGUGAUGUGACGAGGCCGCAGAGAGCUCAGCCCCCAGGAUGGACGGGAAACCCUGGGUCACCGUUCUUGGAGGGGGACAUCAGUGCCUGGCACAUAGUAGAUGCCCAAAGAACAUCUGCUGACUGACCUCACCUAAAGCAUUUGGGCAGUUACCCACAGGUGCUCCAUGACACCUUCUGGCCAGCAGAAAGGACCUGCAGCCAAGUGCUCUGGUGGCUGCUACUGAACACCAACCGCUACUCUCAGCCUUGGGGGUGACAGGAAAGAAUGGGACCGCAGUGAUUGAAACUUAUUUGGGGCAGGAAGCUUGGCCUGGAUGACCUGAGGGGCAGUCAUGUCCUCUGGCCCACCCAGUCUUCACUUCUCACCUCCUCACCCCCCGCCCUCUGGAGGGCAGCUCCUAUCUCUCCUGGGUUAGCCUCAGAGUUCGGCGAGGGGAGGCACUGUUUGGGGCUACAGUCCUGGGCCCGGCGUUGCUUGCCAGUGAGAUGUCUGAUGCCAGGGGGGUGCCAAGGAGCAGCAAGCCUGGGG